rnacentral:lncRNA from 1 species
AACCCAUACAAAACCAGAAACCAGAAAAACCAGAAAACAUCAGAUGUCUCAGAACACUGUGUAUUUCCAGAUCCUUGUUCCAGGGACCAAGGGAGUGGCCUUUCAUUAGUCAGACACGACAACUAGAGUCAAGAUGAAGCUUCUCGUGGCGUUUCUGCUGGCGGUGCUGGGCUGCAGCCUGUCUGAAGGGCGAAUCGUGACAAAGUGUGAACUGAGGGACCAGCUGGUGAGGGAGACUGCGAACCUGACGGACAGUCAGAAAGUACUGACUGGAAGUAACUUCGUCGCCAAGGCUGUCUGUCACGCCGAGCUGUCGUCAGGUUUUAACACCGCUGUGGUGAACGAGGUGAACCUUGAGAAGAGAGGCGAUGACAGCAAGGAGCAGAAAGACUCUUCUAAACCAAGAAGGCAGCGGAGCCCCAAGGGGCCUGAGCCACCCAAACGGCCCGAGCCACCCAAACGGCCCGAGCCACCCAAACGGCCCGAGCCACCCAAACAGCCUGCACCAGCCCCUCCUCAGCCGAACAACACCUGGAAGCUCUACGGCCUGUUCCAGCUCGGAGACAAAGUGGCCUGCAACGGCACGAGUCCUUCAGCCAACAUCUGUGGGACCAGCUGCAGCGACCUUCUGAACGACGACGUCACUGACGACAUCAACUGUCUGCUGAAGAUCGUCACUAAUCCUCCACCGACAAAAGGCCGUGAGAGUUCAGAGUCGAGCGAGGAGAGUGGAGAACAAAGAGGACAUGGCUCUGGAAAGGCCCACUCGGACAAGCUGAAAACAAUGUGAGUUAUAUCUUUAUCUGUUCAUUUUCACGUUCUGCUUUUAAUAAAUGACCUGAAAUCACUACAGUUCAUUUACUGAACAUUUGCCGACUGUUGAUCUGCAGGCUGGGGCUGAUCUUCCAGAACGAGUGCAAGGACAAGCAGGACGCCAGCUACUUCGCUGAUUGCCCAUAAUCCUUAAUACAUCUAGUCCCGUAGUUAUCACUGGAAUUACUGACUUCCUGUCAAAUGUCCAGUGACCUGUAAUAUCAAUAAAGUGAAG